GUUCUGUUUGGCUGUUCCCCUGACUCACUGUAAGCAGUCCUCAGAAAGCCUCUUGAGUUUAGAAAAUUUUGCCAGCCAAUGCCAUGGGGGUUGAGAGACUGGAGUCUACAAUUUCUUCGUUUUCUUCUUGAGGCAUCUUGGCAGACUGUCAAACUCUCGAAGCUGUAGUUUUCACAUGUCUAGAAUGUUCUUCCUGGAUUUGUGGUGAGACUCCAGUGAUACUACUCACAAGGAGGGGAGAAUAACUUGUCCAGCAUCACAGAGCCAACAUAGUAUGAAGCUAAAGUAGAAAGCUCACGUGUUCACUUGCCAUACCUGAAGAAUCUUCCAGUACAUUACAAAUCUGCUCAGAAGGAUGAAAAGAAAACACAAGUCUCUCACAGAGUACAUCAUGAGAAAUGCUGGACUGGAAGACACACAAGCUGGAAUCAAGAUUGCUGGGAGAAAUAUCAACAACCUCAGCUAUGCAGAUGACACCACCCUUAUGGCAGAAAGUGAAAAG
ensembl:lncRNA